GGAGAGGUGGCUGAGUGGUCGAAAGCGGCGGUUUGCUAAACCGUUAUAGGUGUCAAAGCCUAUCGGGGGUUCGAAUCCCCCCCUCUCCG
rnacentral:tRNA from 1 species